rnacentral:rRNA from 1 species
UACGGAGGGUGCAAGCGUUAAUCGGAAUUACUGGGCGUAAAGCGUGCGCAGGCGGUUUGUUAAGUCCGCGGUGAAAUCCCCGAGCUCAACCUGGGAAUUGCAGUGGAUACUGGCAAGCUGGAGUAUGGUAGAGGAAGGUGGAAUUCCCGGUGUAGCAGUGAAAUGCGUAGAGAUCGGGAGGAACACCAGUGGCGAAGGCAGCCUUCUGGACCAAUACUGACGCUCAGGCACGAAAGCGUGGGGAGCAAACAGG